CUAGGAUUUGAUUAAGAUUUGUUUAGGAUUUGACUAAAAUAUAUUUAAGAUUGAUUAGAGUUUGGUUAGGAUUUCACUAAGGUUUGGUUAGGAUUUGGUUAGAAUUUGAUUAGGAUUUGGUUAGGAUUUGGUUAGGAUUUGAUUAAGUUUUUUUUAGGAUUUGAUUAGAAUUUGGUCAUGAUUUGUUUAAGAAUUGACUAGGAUUUAAUGAAAGUUUAUUUAGGAUUUGAUUAGAGUUUGAUUAGGAUUUAUUAGGGUUUGACUAAGAUUUGGUUAGAAUUUGUUUAGGAUUUGUUUAGGAUUUAUUUAAGAUUGAUUAAGAUUUGAUUAGGAUUUGAUUAGGAAUUGAUUAGGAUUUGAUUGAGGUUUGAUUAGAAUUUGAUUAGAAUUUGGUUAGGAUUUGACUAAGUUUUAUUUAGAAUUUAGAUAGGAUUUGAUUAGGAUUUAUUUAAGAUUUCUAUUUUAAUAUUUUAUUAAUAUUUCUAUUUUAGUAUUUUAUUAAUAUUUCUAUUUUAAUUUUAUUUUUAAAUUCCUAUGUUAUUUCUUUAUGAUUUCUUUAAAAGAUCUUUAUGAAUACUUUGUGUUUCUUAUAUAAUUCCUUUGUAAUUUUGAAUGAAUUUGAUUGAUAUUUGAAUUAUAUUUGUUAAUCUUUAAUUGUAAUUUUUUUAAGAAUCUAUUAGAAUUUAUAGGACUUGUUGUUGCAAUUUUUCUUUUAAUUUCCACAGCUAGGUGUCCAGUGCAUUCUCAAGCCAAAUGCCACAUAAUACAACACCGUAUCAUAUAGUGCAAGGUUUUUUUAAUGAUUCAGUUCAAUUUGAAGAUUUUAUAGAUACCCAAUUUAUCACAUAUAUUAACAAAAAUCAAUGACAACUUUAUUAUAAGUAAACCUGGGACGGGUUUUAAAAAUUGGAAGAAAGAGGACUUACUUAUUAAUGAUAGAUUGCCUAUACUCAUACGUAUAUGAUGGAUACUAAAGAUGAUCAAUGGUUGGU
rnacentral:lncRNA from 1 species